rnacentral:rRNA from 1 species
GAUGAACGCUGGCGGCGUGCUUAACACAUGCAAGUCGAACGAAGCACUUCAUAAAGCUUGCUUUAGGAAGUGACUUAGUGGCGGACGGGUGAGUAACGCGUGGGUAACCUGCCUUACACAGGGGGAUAACAGUUAGAAAUGACUGCUAAUACCGCAUAAAACAGCAGAGUCGCAUGACUCAACUGUCAAAGAUUUAUCGGUGUAAGAUGGACCCGCGUCUGAUUAGCUUGUUGGUGGGGUAACGGCCUACCAAGGCGACGAUCAGUAGCCGGCCUGAGAGGGUGAACGGCCACAUUGGGACUGAGACACGGCCCAAACUCCUACGGGAGGCAGCAGUGGGGAAUAUUGGACAAUGGGCGAAAGCCUGAUCCAGCGACGCCGCGUGAGCGAUGAAGUAUUUCGGUAUGUAAAGCUCUAUCAGCAGGGAAGAAAACGACGGUACCUGACUAAGAAGC